UGUUCAAUCAUAGCGUCUGAUCCACAAAACGUGUCAUUGGGUGUUUUAUCAGUGUCCUCUCCAGCGCGAGGAAAUAUGUGGAUUUAUCAUCAGGUUUGUUCAUUCUGAAUCACGAAAACAGCUCAUUGGAUUUUGAGGAUUAUGUCGUUUCGGCAUUUGUGGAAUAUCAUGCAUUCACCACAAGGAAAUCCGAGACAUGAAGUCUUAUAAUUUCAACAGGGUGCGCAACGUUAAGUGGAUGUAAACAGAGAACUUGUAACGGUUUUUAAACACGGGAGGAUAAUCGUGAAAAAGCGUUCUGGACAACAUCUGAUAAGCAUAACCUGUUGUUAUCCUUAACACCAGAGGGGAAUCGUGAAAUACAUCAUGAACAACAGCUGAGCUGAUAAAGCGUGAACUGUUGUUAUCCUUAACACCAGAGGGGAAUCGUGAAAUACAUCAUGAACAACAGCUGAGCUGAUAAGGUUGUUGUUAACCGCGCUGAAGGACAACCGUGAAACCCCUGACAGCAACUAAUAUUGGUAACAAAGCACCUUUUAAAUGAAUGUUAUCCAGAUUAUCAAUGGAAAAGACACAACGCAAGUUAUGCAAUAUAUCAUAAUUACUGAUUUCUUUUUAUUAAUUUGAUUGUUAUUAUUUUUAUUCAUUUGACUGUUAUUUUACAGUUGUUAUUUGUAAUAAUAGUAUGGGUUGUUGUUAUUAAAAUCUCUUCAGCGUCACCAACCCCAGCGGUGGGAUCCCCAAAAACCAUUACCUAGACUAAUCUUGACAAACUACAUAUCAUUUGAAAUCUUACAUUCUCUAGUUUUCAUAUUUGAUGAUUACUUUUUAUUUGUUUUUAUUAAUUUGACUGUUAUUUGUAAUACUGCUAUGGUUUGUUGUUAAACAUUACCCAUCAGCUAUUACUAUUAUCUAUGAAUGGUGAUGGUGUUGGAGUAUUCGUUUAUAGUCUACUAGUAACACAUUAAAACAAAAUGGCUUCUAAAAGAUCUUACACUGAUAUGCAGUCAGAC